AUUUGUGCAUUAAGAGAGAUUUACAUUGCCUUAUCUUCCAUCUUAUUCACUGUUUUCAGAACCUCCAGCACAGCAUGUUGAUGUCACAGAAAAUGGCUAUGAUGAUGUUGAAGAGUUAACUGAUUCUAAACUUCCUUCCUCUCCUGAGAGGACUGAGAAGGACAUUUUCCCAGAAGAUGGAGGUGGUGCCAGGGAUUCUCAGACAAGCAUCUCACCUCAAUCUCCAACAGAAGUUGCCUACUCCAACCUGGAAGAGGAGGGAUCUUCACUGGUCCCGAGACAAGACCUUGGGUACGACGACAUUGAAUUCAUCGGUAUAUAGUGCCACACUGGGGGAUACCUAGUCUGCAAAGAACUCCUCCCU
rnacentral:lncRNA from 1 species